CUGGAAUGUAUUCCUGAAACGGUCAAUAUGUUCUCUCUGCAGUUUUUUCUGGUCUUGUUUUCCUUUAGUAAUUUUGGCUGGAAUUGUAGGAUUUCAUAGUACUCCUCAUCUGAUAUAUUUUACAGAGAUUUAAUAAUAGAGGAAUCCAAGUUGGGGAAGAUGAGCUGAAGAGAUGUCAAGACAGUUCUUAGCCUGUAUUAAAGGAUCAGCAAAGAAAUCAUCAUUGAAUGGUCUCAGAGGUGCCGAAGAGUAUUGCUCCUGAAAUCUCCUCCAUCCAUGGCUGAAAUUUAAAGGCUUGGGGUGAUUGAGAGAACAACCUGCGCACAUCAUUCCAGUCUUCCCAGCUCACAGCAUUUGGCUGCUCCAUGACGUUGAUUGCCCACAAGUUCCCAGGACAUUUGUAAGCUGGUGGAUUAUAAGUCACUUAUCAUUGCAAAGAAAUAUAACUCGCAUUUCUCUGUUUCGUUAAUGCUGUGGUCACCGAUGUCAGUUUCUUCACGGGGGCAACUGGCGGGACCCAAAGCUGCUGGGAGAACUCUCUGCAUGGAGUUUCUAAGCAACACACUUUGCGUGUGGUCAGAGUUAAAGUUUAUUAUAGUCCAGGGUGUUCUGGCUGCUGUAGAAAGAUUUUUGUGUGUGUGGUUUGGUUUGUUUUUUUGAAUUUUCCACCGUGCCUAUUAGUAAUUUAUAAUCAAAUGCAAAAAAAUUGUCUACCACAAGGAAAGUUACAGGUUUGAAAGCAAACAAAGACAUGAGCA
rnacentral:lncRNA from 1 species